GAGGCCGAGCUCCGGUCCCACACCACGGCGGAGCUGGCGAGGCGCCCUCGGCCCGGCCCGGCCCCCGCCGGGUGCCCGCCGCGGCGGGGAGAGCGGGCCCGCGCUGCCGGGAGCGCCGUGAGGGCGAGGAGCCGCCGUCCGCCGCAGGCCCGGCCCGGCGGGCUCCACAAAGAGGGCGGAAGGCGCGGCCGGCAGAUGACCUCCCCAAUCUUCCACCUGCCCUGCAAACUUGGACGUCACCUCCCCUGUCAGUCCCAGCCUGAAGCAACAUCUGAUUUUUCCUUCAGAAGGAGGAGGACGAGCAUCAGGUAGAUCCUGCUCAUAAAGAUUCAGUCCUUACACACAUUAAUGAUGGAUAUGUUUGUGUCCAACCCUUGUAUCUAUGUUCUCUUGCUAAGAAGACAAGGCCAUCUCAUUUCUGUCUCUGAAGCUGCCAGAAUUUUUCCACAGGGAAACAACUGCCUUACAGCUCGUCCUCCAUAUCUGCCAGUGAUCCCUGCAGGGCUGGCACCUGCAUCCUCCUGUGUGUUGCACACCUCCAGGGCCUGCCUGCGAAAUGCAGCGCUGGCUUACUGAUGGUAGUUUCUGGCAUGGGAGAGAAAGUUUUACGGGCAAAUUCCUUCAUACUUAACACUACAAUAGUUACUAAACUUAUUUACAGCUUUUAAAGAAAAACUUGUCUACAAUAUUUAUAAUACAAAUGCUGUGGAUUUAAAAACAGCAAAUAUUUGCUAUUUGCCAUAACAAAAAACAUCUGAGAAGUUCUGUGAUUUCUCUCGUAUUUGACAUUAAUCAAAAUCAGUAUUACUCAAGUUCAGCUGAAAAGCUUA